rnacentral:rRNA from 1 species
ACCCGACUGCUAUCCGGAUGCGACUAAGCCAUGCUAGUCUAACGGAUCUUCGGAUCCGUGGCGUACCGCUCUGUAACACGUAGAUAACCUACCCUGAGGUCGGGGAAACUCCCGGGAAACUGGGCCUAAUCCCCGAUAGAUAAGUUGUACUAGAAUGUCUCUUUAUUGAAACCUCCGAGGCCUCAGGAUGGGUCUGCGCCAGAUUAUGGUCGUAGGUGGGGUAACGGCCCACCUAGCCUUUGAUCUGUACCGGACAUGAGAGUGUGUGCCGGGAGAUGGCCACUGAGACAAGGGGCCAGGCCCUACGGGGCGCAGCAGGCGCGAAAACUUCACAAUGCCCGAAAGGGUGAUGAGGAUAUCCGGAGUGCUUCCUUAGCCGGAAGCUUUUAUUCAGUGUAAAUAGCUAGAUGAAUAAGGGGAGGGCAAGGCUGGUGCCAGCCGCCGCGGUAAAACCAGCUCCCCGAGUGGUCGGGAUUUUUAUUGGGCCUAAAGCGUCCGUAGCCGGGCGUGCAAGUCAUUGGUUAAAUAUCGGGUCUUAAGCCCGAACCUGCUAGUGAUACUACACACCUUGGGACCGGAAGAGGCAAAUGGUACGUUGAGGGUAGGGGUGAAAUCCUGUAAUCCCCAACGGACCACCGGUGGCGAAGCUUGUUCAGUCAUGAACAACUCUACACAAGGCGAUUUGCUGGGACGGAUCCGACGGUGAGGGACGAAACCCAGGGGAGCGAGCGGGAUUAGAUACCCCGGUAGUCCUGGGCGUAAACGAUGCGAACUAGGUGUUGGCGGAGCCACGAGCUCUG